rnacentral:rRNA from 1 species
AGUAAAAAGUAGAAUAAUAGAUUUGAAAUAUUUAUUAUAUAGAUUUAAAGAGAUAAUCAUGGAGUAUAAAUUAUUAAAUAAAAAAAUAUUUAAUAAUAACUAUUAAUAGGAUUAGGUUACUAAUAAAUUAAUAAUAAUUAAUUUAAAAACCUAAAGGUAAACCUUUAUAUUAAUAAUAUAUAUAUUUAUAUUAUUAAUAAUAAUAAGAACUAAGUGAACUGAAACAUCUAAGUAACUUAAGGAAUAUAAAUCAACAGAGAUAUUAUGAGUAUUGGUGAGAGAAAAUAAUAAAGGUCUAAUAAGUAUUAUGUAAGAAGUAUGUAAGAAAAUAGGAUAACAAAUUCUAAGACUAAAUACUAUUAAUAAGUAUAAUAAGUACCGUAAGGGAAAGUAUGAAAAUGAUUAUUUUAUAAGCAAUCAUGGAUAUAAUUUUAAUAUUAAUGAUGUACCUUUUGUAUAAUGGGUCAGCAAGUAAUUAAUAUUAGUAAAACAAUAAAGUUAUAAAUAAAUAGAAAAAGUAUAUAUAUAAAAAAAUAUAUUAAAAUAUUUAAUUAAUAUUAAUUGACCCGAAAGCAAACGAUCUAACUAUGAUAAGAUGGGUAAACGAUCGAACAGGUUGAUGUUGCAAUAUCAUCUGAUUAAUUGUGGUUAGUAGUGAAAGACAAAUCUGGUUUGCAGAUAGCUGGUUUUCUAUGAAAUAUAUGUAAGUAUAGCCUUUAUAAAUAAUAAUUAUUAUAUAAUAUUAAAAUAAUAUUAUAUAAAGAAUGGUACAGCAAUUAAUAUAUAUUAGGGAACUAUAAAAGUUUUAUUAAUAAUAUUAAAUCUCGAAAUGUUUAAUUAUAUAUAAUAAAGAGUCAGAUUAUGUGCGAUAAGGUAAAUAAUCAAAAGGGAAACAGCCCAGAUUAAGAUAUAAAGUUCCUAAUAAAUAAUAAGUGAAAAAAAUAUUAAAAUAUUAUAAUAUAAUCAGUUAAUGGGUUUGACAAUAACCAUUUUUUAAUGAACAUGUAACAAUGCACUGAUUUAUAAAAAUAAAAUAAUAUUUAAAAUCAAAUAUAUAUAUAUAUUUUUGUUAAUAGAUAAUAUACGGAUCUUAAUAAUAAUAAGAAUUAUUUAAUUCCAAAAAUGGAAUAUCAUAUUAAAUUAAUAAAAAAUAUGAAUACUGAAUAUCUAAAUAUUAUUAUUAAUAAUAAAUAAUAAUAAUAAUAUGGUAAUAGAACAUUUAAUGAUAAUAUAUAUUAGUUAUUAAUUAAUAUAUUAAUUAAUUAAAUAGAGAAUGCUGACAUGAGUAACGAAAAAAAGGUAUAAACCUUUUCACCUAAAACAUAAGGUUUAACUAUAAAAGUACGGCCCCUAAUUAAAUAAAUAAGAAUAUAAAUAUAUUUAAGAUGGGAUAAUCUAUAUUAAUAAAAAUAAUCUUAAAAUAUAUAUAUUAUUAUUAUUAAUUUAUUAAUUAAUUAAUUAAUAAUAUAUAUAAUUAUAUUUAUAUAUUAUAUAUAUAAUAUAAACUAAUAAAGAUCAAGAAAAGUAUUAAUGUAUACCGUAAUGUAGACCGACUCAGGUAUGUAAGUAGAGAAUAUGAAGGUGUAUUAGAGAAUUAAAGGGAAGGAACUCGGCAAAGAUAGCUCAUAAGUUAGUCAAUAAAGAGUAAUAAGAACAAAGUUGUACAACUGUUUACUAAAAACACCGCACUUUGCAGAAACGAUAAGUUUAAGUAUAAGGUGUGAACUCUGCUCCAUGCUUAAUAUAUAAAUUAAAUUAUUUAACGAUAAUUUAAUUAAAUUUAGGUAAAUAGCAGCCUUAUUAUGAGGGUUAUAAUGUAGCGAAAUUCCUUGGCCUAUAAUUGAGGUCCCGCAUGAAUGACGUAAUGAUACAACAACUGUCUCCCCUUUAAACUAAGUGAAAUUGAAAUCGUAGUGAAGAUGCUAUGUACCUUCAGCAAGACGGAAAGACCCUAUGCAGCUUUACUGUAAUUAGAUAGAUCGAAUUAUUGUUUAUUAUAUUCAGCAUAUUAAGUAAUCCUAUAAUUUUAGGUAAUCGUUUAGAUAUUAAUGAGAUACUUAUUAUAAUAUAAUGAUAAUUCUAAUCUUAUAAAUAAUAAUUAAUUAAUUAAUUAAUUAAUUAUUAAUACUUAAUAGAUAUAAUUUCUUAAGUAAUAUAUAAUAUAUUAUAUUAUUAUAUGUAUUAUAUAUAUAUAUAAGAGACAAUCUCUAAUUGGUAGUUUUGAUGGGGCGUCAUUAUCAGCAAAAGUAUCUGAAUAAGUCCAUAAAUAAAUAUAUAAAAUUAUUGAAUAAGAAUAAUAUAUAUUAUAUAUAUUAAUUAUAAAUUGAAAUAUAUUUAUAUUUUUAAUGAAUAUAUUUUAGUAAUAGAUAAAAAUAUGUACAGUAAAAUUGUAAGGAAAACAAUAAUAACUUUCUAUUUAUUAAUUUAUAAAAAAAGUAUAGAAAGAAUUAGAUUAAUAUAAUGGUAUAACUGUGCGAUAAUUGUAACACAAACGAGUGAAACAAGUACGUAAGUAUGGCAUAAUGAACAAAUAACACUGAUUGUAAAGGUUAUUGAUAACGAAUAAAAGUUACGCUAGGGAUAACAGGGUAAUAUAACGAAAGAGUAGAUAUUGUAAGUUAUGUUUGCCACCUCGAUGUCGACUCAACAUUUCCUCUUGGUUGUAAAAGCUAAGAAGGGUUUGACUGUUCGUCAAUUAAAAUGUUACGUGAGUUGGGUUAAAUACGAUGUGAAUCAGUAUGGUUCCUAUCUGCUGAAGGAAAUAUUAUCAAUUUAAAUCUCAUUAUUAGUACGCAAGGACCAUAAUGAAUCAACCCAUGGUGUAUCUAUUGAUAAUUUAAUAAUAUAUUUAUAAUAAAAAUUUUAUAAUAAAUAUAUUAUCUAUAUUAGUUUAUAUUUUUAUAUAAUUAUCAUAGUAGAUAAGCUAAGUUGAUAAUAAAUAAAUAUUGAAUACAUAUUAAAUAUGAAGUUGUUUUAAUAAGAUAAUUAAUCUGAUAAUUUUAUACUAAAAUUUAAUAAUUAUAGGUUUUAUAUAUUCUUUAUAUAUUAAUAAUAUUUUUUAUAAUAUUAAUAAAAUACUAAUUUAUCAGUUAUCUAUAUAAUAUCUAAUCUAUUAUUCUAUAUACU